rnacentral:lncRNA from 1 species
GAGGUCUCAUUCCCAUUCUCCCCUGUAGGGCUGACUCUCUGACUUCAAGAUAGGAAUAAAAGGAGGAGGAGUCUGCUACACCCACCAUCAAGUGCGCUCACAGUAUUUACUCAACCAGUGACAAGGAGGGCCAAACAAGAGGAAAAAUCCUAGAACUGCAGCAAGACAGAUGGGAAUCACACUAGAGGAGGGACUUCCCAGGGCAUCUGAGGAUUUACUACUGUAUCUGGAUCUUUGGGAUUGAGAGAGGAGCAAGAAGCUGACACUGCCUACUGCAAGUGGCUAUAAAGCCAUUCUCACGGUCCUGAUGCAAUGCUCAAGAUAAAAAGCAAGCCUGCGGGAAGGAGAGACACUGGCCUGAGUCCAGGUGUCUGAGCAGGAACACCAGCCCCAGACUCCAAAUGAAGCUCCAGAGGAACAGAAGGAGUUGGUGGGAAGGGCCCCUCUGCUGGGCUUCAGGGCCAGAAAAGGGAGAAGGAACAAACACAAGUAGUGGCAGAGCACCAUCCAGUCAUGUUGGCCAAAUGAUGCCUCCUUUGUUCAGUAAGAAGUGAAGAGAGAAUGCUAGAACCGCAGCCGGGCGUGGUGGUUCACGCCUGUAUCCCAGCACUUUGGGAAGCCAGGCGGGAGGAUCACUUGAGGUCAGGAGUUAGAGACCAGCCAG